GCUGGGUGCAGUGGCGCAUGCCUGUAAUCCCAGUGACUCAGGAGGCCGAGGUAGGAGGAUGGCAAGCUCAAAGCCAACCUCAG
rnacentral:sRNA from 1 species